AGCUCCAAUAGCGUAUAUGAAAGUUGUUGCAGUUAAAAAGCUCGUAGUUGGAUUUCGGAUUGCUCAGGAUGUGGUCCGCCGAAACGGCGUGUACCGCGCUUGGGUAUCCUUUCUUGGGGACAAAAGUAGGUAGUUUUUGGUGUCAUCAAGCAAUUGGUGGCAUCAGGGGCUAUCCACUCCCCAUCGUUUACUUUGAGAAAAUUAGAGUGUUCAAAGCAGGCGUAACCCAGCCUUGAAUACUGUAGCAUGGAAUGAUAAAACAAGACGAGAGUCUUAUUUUGUUGGUUUCUAGGGCUUUUGUAAUGAUUAAAAGGGACAGUUGGGGGCAUUUGUAUUCAGUUGUCAGAGGUGAAAUUCUAGGAUUAACUGAAGACAAACUACUGCGAAAGCAUUUGCCAAGGAUGUUUUCA
rnacentral:rRNA from 1 species